AUGCAUGAAAAGCUUGCGAGGAUGAUCACUAUUACCCGCAUAUCCAUCUUAACAGUAAAGCAUCUCCAAUAUGCACUCAUGCAUGUGACUUUAUUGUCACAUAAAAAAAUAACGUAUGCUCCAAGUCAAAGUGGUGUUGUAACCGUAUCAAAGCACCUCACGAAAAUAUUAUGCCAGAGUUCAGAAUGCUUGCCUUCAAGAGUAUGCAAGGGGGUGCACUUUUUUGAAAGUUUUCUUCUCUCUCCAUUUCCUAUUUUGAAAAAUAUUCAAAUAACAAAUAUUUCAAAAACAGUACAAAAAGUUGUCUCAAUUAUUUUUGAGAUAAAUCUUAAAAUAAACUAG
rnacentral:rRNA from 1 species